rnacentral:rRNA from 1 species
GAUGAACGCUGGCGGCGUGCCUAAUACAUGCAAGUCGAACGAAACUUCUUUAUCACCGAGUGCUUGCACUCACCGAUAAAGAGUUGAGUGGCGAACGGGUGAGUAACACGUGGGCAACCUGCCCAAAAGAGGGGGAUAACACUUGGAAGCAGGUGCUAAUACCGCAUAACCAUAGUUACCGCAUGGUAACUAUGUAAAAGGUGGCUAUACUACCGCUUUUGGAUGGGCCCGCGGCGCAUUAGCUAGUUGGUAGGGUAAAGGCUUACCAAGGCAAUGAUGCGUAGCCGAAUUGAGAGGUUGAUCGGCCACAUUGGGACUGAGACACGGCCCAAACUCCUACGGGAGGCAGCAGUAGGGAAUCUUCCACAAUGGGCGAAAGCCUGAUGGAGCAACGCCGCGUGGGUGAAGAAGGUCUUCGGAUCGUAAAACCCUGUUGUUAGAGAAGAAAGUGCGUGAGAGUAACUGUUCACGUUUCGACGGUAUCUAACCAGAAAGCCACGGCUAACUACGUG